GUCACGACAAGAGCAGAAACCUCCUUUAAAAUGGUGAAAACGAGUGGCAUCCCUAACAAUAAUUUCUCGCCCUACAAGCUUGGAGAUAAAUUUGAUUGCUGAGUGACAGUCAUUACAAACUCUCAGGUUCUUCAUGAUCCUUAAAGUAGUAUUCUCCGGGGUAUUUAUUAACCCAAAUGCAAUUGCAAGCUUAAGGUUCUUGAUGAUCCUUAAAGUAGUGUUCUCCGGGGUAUUUAUUAAACCAAAUGCAAUUGCAAGCUUCUCACUGUGAUGUCUAAGAAUCUGCUCUUUCACCUCAUAAUCAAGAUCAUGCAGCAC
rnacentral:lncRNA from 1 species